AAAUAAGAAACAAAAAUUUGUUAUUAGUUUCGACCUAAUCUUUGGCCUAGGCCCUUAUUUU
rnacentral:tRNA from 1 species